rnacentral:rRNA from 1 species
UACGGGGGGGGGCAAGCGUUGUUCGGAAUUACUGGGCGUAAAGGGCUCGUAGGCGGCCAACUAAGUCAGACGUGAAAUCCCUCGGCUUAACCGGGGAACUGCAUCUGAUACUGGAUGGCUUGAGUUCGGGAGAGGGAUGCGGAAUUCCAGGUGUAGCGGUGAAAUGCGUAGAUAUCUGGAGGAACACCGGUGGCGAAGGCGGCAUCCUGGACCGAUACUGACGCUGAGGAGCGAAAGCGUGGGGAGCGAACAGG